ACGGGAGGCAGCAGUGAGGAAUAUUGGUCAAUGGGCGGAAGCCUGAACCAGCCAAGUCGCGUGAAGGAUGAAGGUAUUAUGUAUUGUAAACUUCUUUAGACGUAGAGAAAUAAGGGGGUCGAGACCUCUGAUGCUAGUAUACGUAGAAUAAGGAUCGGCUAACUCCGUGCCAGCAGCCGCGGUAAUACGGAGGAUCCGAGCGUUAUCCGGAUUUAUUGGGUUUAAAGGGUGCGCAGGCGGCGCGUCAAGUCAGCGGUCAAAUCCCGGUGCUCAACGCCGGUCCGCCGUUGAAACUGCCGUGCUCGAGUUCGUGCGAGGAGAGCGGAAUGCGUGGUGUAGCGGUGAAAUGCAUAGAUAUCACGCAGAACGCCGAUUGCGAAGGCAGCCCUCCAGCACGCGACUGACGCUCAUGCACGAAAGCGUGGGUAUCGAACAGGAUUAGAUACCCUGGUA
rnacentral:rRNA from 1 species